ACUGUAGGGCUGCUCUCUCUAAGUCAAUUAGUCGACUAAUCGCUCGUUUUGGUCUUAGUUGACUAAGAUUUUUUCUUUUUCAAGUCAAUUAGUUAUUUUUUAUGUUUUUUUUCAUGCUGAAUGACUUAUUUCC